rnacentral:rRNA from 1 species
GGUCAAGCUACAAGGGUGUAUGGUGAAUGCCUUGGUGCCAGAAGUCGAUGAAAGACGUGAUAAGCUGCGAUAAGCCUCGGGUAGGAGCAAAUAUCCUUUGAUCCGGGGAUUUCUGAAUCGGGAAACCGUUACGGGUGAGAGCCCGUAAAUCGUAAUCUGAAUGCAAGUUCUUCGGAAUUUGAAAUAGGGUUACAGAAGACAACCCAGGGAAGUGAAACAUCUCAGUACCUGGAGGAGAAGAAAUCAAAGAGAUUCCGUUAGUAGUGGCGAGCGAAAGCGGAAAAGGCCAAACCAACUCCCGCACUGUAUAUAUUAUCGGGGGACGAGUAAAGCAAGUUCUUAAAAAUGCGCGUUUAAAGCGCAAGUCGUAAGAAUCUUGUUUUAAUUUUUGAGCAAAGUUUGAAUUUUAUUUGCGACGACGCGUACUGGAGUACGUUAGGAGCAAAAAAAUACAAAAUUUGCCAAAAAUUAAAACCCGUCAGCCGUCAAAGAUAGUGUAUAUCGUGCGUGGGUUGGGGUUACAGGGCUUGUUCGUGUUAGACACAAAGAGUUACCAAUCUGGAAAUUAGCUGAAUGGUCUGGAAAGUCCAACCAAAGAGGGUGACAGUCCCUUAAGCGAAAAUUUACCAGACUCUUAACAAGUUCCUAAGUACUACUGGGCACGUGCAAUCCGGUAGGAACUCGGGGAGACCACUCUCCAAGCCUAAAUACUCUCUGGCAACCGAUAGUGAACCAGUACCGCGAGGGAAAGGCGAAAAGAACCCCGGAAGGGGAGUGAAAUAGAACCUGAAACCGUACAUCUACAAGCUGUCGUAGCGCUAUGCCAUAGCAAUAUGGAAUGCGCGACGGCGUGCCUGUUGAAGAAUGAUCCAGCGAGUUAAUGUGACGAGCAAGGUUAAGGGCUGUAUAGGCCCGGAGCCGUAGUGAAAGCGAGCCCGAAUAGGGCGAUUAGUUCGUCAUAUUAGACCCGAAGCCAAGUGAUCUAACCCUGUCCAGGAUGAAGUUCUCGUAACAGAGAAUGGAGGUCCGGAGUGUUGAACGUUGAAAAGUUCCUACAUGAGGUGGGGUUAGGGGUGAAAGGCCAAUCGAACUUGGUGAUAGCUGGUUCUCCUCGAAAUAGCUUUAGGGCUAGCGUUGUAAUUUAACCCGCAGGGGUAGAGCACUGGUUGAUCUAGGGGGAGCGACCCUCUUUCCGACGUCAGUCAAACUCCGAAUACUGCGGCGAACAUUACAGCAGUCAGUUCGUGAGGGAUAAGCUUCACGAGCAAAAGGGAAACAGCCCGGACCCUCAAUUUAGGUCCCAAAAUAUAUACUAAGUGGUAAAGGAUGUGGAUUUACUUAAACAGCUAGGAGGUUGGCUUAGAAGCAGCCAUCCUUUGAAGAGUGCGUAAUAGCUCACUAGUCGAGUGAAUCCGCGCCGAAGAUGACUCGGGGCUAAGUAUAUUACCGAAAUUAGGGAUUGUGAUUGUCCUCGGACGAUUGCAGUGGUAGGGGAGCGUUAUUAACAGCAGUGAAGGCAUACCGGUAAGGAGUGCUGGAGCGUUAAUAAGUGAGAAUGCUGGAAUAAGUAGCGAUAAGGAAGGUGAGAAUCCUUCCCGCCGAAAAUCUAAGGUUUCCUUGAGCAACGUUCGUCGGCUCAGGGUCAGUCGGGCCUAAGCUCAGGCCGAAAGGCGUAGGCGAAGGACAUCAGGUUAAUAUUCCUGAACUAUAGUGUGCGCGUCAUAACUCAGGGAGGGACGCAGAAAGGUAAGCCGGCCGGAGAAAGGUUGUUCCGGUUCUAAACCAUAGGCGUUGUCUGACAGGCAAAUCCGUCAGGCUGUUAAGCCGAAGGUCAAGGGUAGCUGUAGCAAUACAGCGAAACGGCCCAACUACGCUGCCAAGAAAAACUUCGUGGGGAGUUCGCACUAUAACCGUACCGUAAUCCGACACAGGUGGAUGGGGUGAAAAUCCUAAGGCGCGCGAGAUAACCAUCGUCAAGGAACUAGGCAAACUAGCUCCGUAACUUCGGAAGAAGGAGUGCCUCAGAAUCGGUAUAGCAAUAUACCGUGCAAAGGCCGCAGUGAAUUGGGCUUCGUGACUGUUUAACAAAAACUUAGGGCUCUGCUGAAAUCACAAGAUGAUGUAUAGGGCCUGAUGCCUGCCCGGUGCCGGAAGGUCAAGGGGAUCCGUCAACGCAAGUGAAGCGGUGAACUUAAGCCCCGGUAAACGGCGGCGGUAACUAUAACCGUCCUAAGGUAGCGAAAUUCCUUGUCGGGUAAGUUCCGACCUGCACGAAUGGCAUAACAAAGAAGCCGCUGUCUCGACGAUGGGCUCGGCGAAAUUGUGGUGCAAGUGAAGACGCUUGCUGCGCGCAACAAGACGAAAAGACCCUAUGGAGCUUUACUGUAACUUGUUAUUGGAUUAUGAUUUUUAAUACGUAGAAUAGGCGGGAGCCUUUGAAGCAGCCUUUGAGGAGGUUGCUGAGGCGCCAGUGAAAUACCGCCUUUUGGGAAUUGUGAUUCUAACCUAUACCCGUGAAACCGGGUUGGGGACAGUGGCAGGCGGGCAGUUUGACUGGGGCGGUCGCCUCCUAAAGAGUAACGGAGGCGUUCCAAGGUUCCCUCAGGCCGAAUAGAAAUCGGCCACUGAGCGCAAUGGUAGAAGGGAGCUUGACUGUGAGGCUGACAGGCCGAACAGGUACGAAAGUAGGACAUAGUGAUCCGGUGGUACCUCGUGGGAGGGCCAUCGCUCAACGGAUAAAAGCUCCCCUGGGGAUAACAGGCUGAUCGGGCCCAAGAGUUCACAUCGACGGCUCGGUUUGGCACCUCGAUGUCGGCUCAUCACAUCCUCCCGCUGAAGCAGGUGGGAAGGGUUGGACUGUUCGUCCAUUAAAGUGGUACGUGAGCUGGGUUCAGUACGUCGUGAGACAGUACGGUCUCUAUCUGUUGUGCGCGUAGGAAACUUGAGAGGAGUUGUCCAUAGUACGAGAGGGCCUGGAUGAACGAACCUCCUGUAUAUCUGUUGUCCUGCCAAGGGCAUAGCAGAUUAGCGGUGUUCGGUAGGGAUAAACGCUGAAAGCAUAUAAGCGUGAAACCCGCCUCAAGAUAAGGUUUCCCAAGCACGUUAAGUGCUAUUAAGACCCCCGGAAGACUACCGGGUUGAUAGGCUGGGUGUGUAAGCGCGGAAACGCGUUCAGCUAACCAGUACUAAUAGGUCGUUUGGCUUGGCCGU